rnacentral:rRNA from 1 species
CCAGCCGCCGCGGUAAUACGGAGGGUCCGAGCGUUAUCCGGAAUCAUUGGGUUUAAAGGGUCCGCAGGCGGUCAAUUAAGUCAGAGGUGAAAUCCCAUAGCUUAACUAUGGAACUGCCUUUGAUACUGGUUGACUUGAGUCAUAUGGAAGUAGAUAGAAUGUGUAGUGUAGCGGUGAAAUGCAUAGAUAUUACACAGAAUACCGAUUGCGAAGGCAGUCUACUACGUAUGUACUGACGCUGAGGGACGAGAGCGUGGGGAGCGAACAGGAUUAGAUACCCUGGUAGUCCACGCCGUAAACGAUGGAUACUAGUUGUUGGGCAUUAGCUCAGUGACUAAGCGAAAGUGAUAAGUAUCCCACCUGGGGAGUACGGUCGCAAGACUGAAACUCAAAGGAAUUGACGGGGGCCCGCACAAGCGGUGGAGCAUGUGGUUUAAUUCGAUGAUACGCGAGGAACCUUACCAGGGCUUAAAUGUAGUCUGACAGCUUUAGAGAUAGAGUUUUCUUCGGACAGAUUACAAGGUGCUGCAUGGUUGUCGUCAGCUCGUGCCGUGAGGUGUCAGGUUAAGUCCUAUAACGAGCGCAACCCCUGUCAUUAGUUGCCAGCAUGUAAAGAUGGGGACUCUAAUGAGACUGCCGGUGCAAACCGCGAGGAAAGUGGGGAUGACGUCAAAUCAUCACGGCCCUUACGUCCUGGGCCCACACACGUGCUACAUGGUAUGGACAAUGA